UACGUAGGGUGCGAGCGUUGUCCGGAAUUAUUGGGCGUAAAGAGCUUGUAGGCGGUCUGUCGCGUCUGCUGUGAAAAUCCGGGGCUCAACCCCGGACUUGCAGUGGGUACGGGCAGACUAGAGUGUGGUAGGGGAGACUGGAAUUCCUGGUGCAGCGGUGAAAUGCGCAGAUAUCAGGAGGAACACCGAUGGCGAAGGCAGCUGCCUGGCCUAACACUGACGCUGAGGUGCGAAAGCGUGGGGAGCGAACGGG
rnacentral:rRNA from 1 species